AGAGUUUGAUCAUGGCUCAGAUUGAACGCUGGCGGAAUGCUUUACACAUGCAAGUCGAACGGCAGCACGGGGCAACCUGGUGGCGAGUGCGAACGGUGAGUAAUACAUCGGAACGUGCCCAAUCGUGGGGAUAACGUAGCGAAAGUUACGCUAAUACCGCAUACGAUCUACGGAUGAAAGCGGGGGAUCGCAAGACCUCGCGCGAAUGGAGCGGCCGAUGUCAGAUUAGGUAGUUGGUGGGUAAAGGCUCACCAAGCCAACGAUCUGUAGCUGGUCUGAGAGGACGACCAGCCACACUGGAACUGAGACACGGUCCAGACUCCUACGGGAGGCAGCAGUGGGGAAUUUUGGACAAUGGGCGCAAGCCUGAUCCAGCCAUUCCGCGUGCAGGAUGAAGGCCUUCGGGUUGUAAACUGCUUUGUACGGAACGAAAAGGUCCUGGUUAAUACCUGGGGCUCAUGACGGUACCGUAAGAAUAAGCACCGGCUAACUACGUG
rnacentral:rRNA from 1 species